UAAGGAAUAUUGGUCAAUGGACGCAAGUCUGAACUAGCCAUGCCGCGUGAAGGAUGAAGGUCCUCUGGAUUGUAAACUUCUUUUAUCUGGGACGAAACACUUCUUUUCUAAGAGGCCUGACGGUACCAGAUGAAUAAGCACCGGCUAACUCCGUGCCAGCAGCCGCGGUAAUACGGAGGGUGCAAGCGUUAUCCGGAUUCACUGGGUUUAAAGGGUGCGUAGGUGGGUAUGUAAGUCAGUGGUGAAAUCCCCGAGCUUAACUUGGGAACUGCCAUUGAUACUAUAUAUCUUGAAUACCGUAGAGGUAAGCGGAAUAUGUCAUGUAGCGGUGAAAUGCUUAGAUAUGACAUGGAACACCAAUUGCGAAGGCAGCUUACUAUGCGGUGAUUGACACUGAGGCACGAAAGCGUGGGUAGCAAACA
rnacentral:rRNA from 1 species